GAUGAACGCUAGCGGCAGGCUUAAUACAUGCAAGUCGAGGGGCAGCGGGAGUAGCAAUACUUGCCGGCGACCGGCGCACGGGUGCGUAACACGUAUACAAUCUGCCUUUUACAGGGGGAUAGCCCGGAGAAAUCCGGAUUAAUACCCCAUAACAGUAGAGUAAGCAUUUACUUUAUUUGAAAGCUCCGGCGGUAAGAGAUGAGUAUGCGGCUGAUUAGCUAGUUGGUAGUGUAACGGACUACCAAGGCUACGAUCAGUAGGGGAUCUGAG
rnacentral:rRNA from 1 species